UGAUCUGAGAAUAGGGACCGGGGUGU
rnacentral:piRNA from 1 species